UGGGGAAUUUUGGACAAUGGGCGAAAGCCUGAUCCAGCAAUGCCGCGUGUGUGAAGAAGGCCUUCGGGUUGUAAAGCACUUUUUGUCCGGAAAGAAAUCCUUGGCUCUAAUACAGUCGGGGGAUGACGUACCGGAAGAAUAAGCACCGGCUAACUACGUGCCAGCAGCCGCGGUAAUACGUAGGGUGCAAGCGUUAAUCGGAAUUACUGGGCGUAAAGCGUGCGCAGGCGGUUUGCUAAGACCGAUGUGAAAUCCCCGGGCUCAACCUGGGAACUGCAUUGGUGACUGGCAGGCUAGAGUAUGGCAGAGGGGGGUAGAAUUCCACGUGUAGCAGUGAAAUGCGUAGAGAUGUGGAGGAAUACCGAUGGCGAAGGCAGCCCCCUGGGCCAAUACUGACGCUCAUGCACGAAAAGCGUGGGGAGCAAACAGGAUUAGAUACCCUGGUAGUCCACGCCCUAAAACGAUGUCAACUAGUUGUUGGGGAUUCAUUUCCUUAGUAACGUAGCUAACGCGUGAAGUUGACCGCCUGGGGAGUACGGUCGC
rnacentral:rRNA from 1 species